UAACAAUAUAAAAUCAUGUCCUGAUUACAUGUCAAUUACCACAUUCCAUACAAUGUGGAUGUGAUCCAACAUGUAUUCAAUGAUAGUAUGAAUUCCAACAGUUGAGAUUUAAAAAUCACAUACCACUUGCCAAUACUGUAAAUCAGUAAGUGUCGAAAUAAAUACCCA